rnacentral:rRNA from 1 species
UACAGAGGGUGCAAGCGUUGUUCGGAAUUAUUGGGCGUAAAGGGCGCGUAGGCGGUGCGGUAAGUCUCUUGUGAAAUCUCCGGGCUCAACCCGGAGCCUGCAAGGGAAACUGCCGUGCUUGAGUGUGGGAGAGGUGAGUGGAAUUCCCGGUGUAGCGGUGAAAUGCGUAGAGAUCGGAAAGAACACCAACGGCGAAAGCACUCUGCUGGGCCGACACUGACACUGAGAGACGAAAGCUAGGGGAGCGAAUGGG